CUUACCAACACUUCCCACAAGUACACACAAAGCAAGAAUGAUUCAUCCUGGCUCUCUGGUAAACUGAAGCAGGAAGCCUCAGUGUAAGUUACAGGCAGAUUUUAAUGUUGCUCUUGACCAAUGACAAGGUUUCUGGCUGCCCAGG
rfam:Tupaia chinensis contig211677, whole genome shotgun sequence.